AACGCUAGCUACAGGCUUAACACAUGCAAGUCGCGGGGCAGCAUGAGAGAUGCUUGCAUCUUUUGAUGGCGACCGGCGCACGGGUGAGUAACGCGUAUCCAACCUGCCCCUUUCCCCGGCACAGCCCGUAGAAAUGCGGAUUAAUGCCGGAUGCGGUCGUGUGACGGCAUCAGAGCACGACGAAAGGAGCGAUCCGGAAAGGGAUGGGGAUGCGUCCGAUUAGCUUGACGGCGGGGUAAAGGCCCACCGUGGCGACGAUCGGUAGGGGCCCUGAGAGGGGAAUCCCCCACAUUGGGACUGAGACACGGCCCAAACUCCUACGGGAGGCAGCAGUGAGGAAUAUUGGUCAAUGGGCGGAAGCCUGAACCAGCCAAGUAGCGUGAGGGACGAAGGCCCUACGGGUUGUAAACCUCUUUUGUACGGGAACAAAACGGGCCACGUGUGGUCCCUUGUGUGUACCGUACGAAUAAGGACCGGCUAAUUCCGUGCCAGCAGCCGCGGUAAUACGGAAGGUCCGGGCGUUAUCCGGAUUCAUUGGGUUUAAAGGGAGCGCAGGCCGCCUUUUAAGCGUGCCGUGAAAUGCCGUGGCUCAACCAUGGCACUGCGGCGCGAACUGGAGGGCUUGAGUGCGCGGAAGGCAGGCGGAACUCGUGGUGUAGCGGUGAAAUGCUUAGAUAUCACGAAGAACUCCGAUUG
rnacentral:rRNA from 1 species